rnacentral:rRNA from 1 species
UACGGGGGGGGCAAGCGUUGUUCGGAAUUAUUGGGCGUAAAGAGCUCGUAGGCGGCUUGUCAAGUCAUCUGUGAAAUCUCCGGGCUUAACUCGGAACGGUCAGCUGAUACUGCUUUGCUAGAGUGCAGAAGGGGCAAUCGGAAUUCUUGGUGUAGCGGUGAAAUGCGUAGAUAUCAAGAGGAACACCUGAGGUGAAGACGGGUUGCUGGGCUGACACUGACGCUGAGGCGCGAAAGCUAGGGUAGCAAACGGG